rnacentral:lncRNA from 1 species
UUUUCACAGCAUCAUCUCUUCAAUAGGUGUAGCCUUUGACGAACAUGCCCUCCUUAGCCUCUUCGGACUCACCCUCCCCGGUGUAUUUUCCGAGCUGAGCCAACGAAUUGGCCUUGGCACGGGCCAAGAGAGUGGUCUGAGCUGCGUUCACGUUCUCGGGUCUGCCACCCCAUGUUUUCAGACAAGUGUUCUGCAAUGCACGUGCGUAGGAGAAGGACACGUGCCAUGGGUUUGGUGCCUGGUUCAUUGCAUUCAGGUUGAGUGUUGCCUCCACCUCUGACUGUCCUCCGGAUAAGAACUGCAACAAAACAAAAACAAAAACAAGAAACAAUAUUACUUUUACCUCAAGCCACCAAUAUUAGGUUUUGCCUCUUGUGUAUUGAAUCGAACAUGUUUUAACUGAAGAAUCAUCGUGAAGAGAAGGAGAGAACUUGCCAUGAUUCCGGGGACUGCGGGAGGGACUCUGUUGCGGAGGAGCUUGAGGGUGUAGGCGGCAACUUUUUCAGGAGUAACUCUGUCUUUAGACUCAGCUCCGGGAGUCACCAUACUCGGUUUCAGGAGGAUACCU